rnacentral:lncRNA from 1 species
UAUUUCUCUCUCUCUAGGUCAGAGGAAAGGGUAUGAAGCGAGGGCAGAGAGCAGGUCACAUGACUGCUGUAUGUCAGCAUCCACGAGGGUCCUGAGGGAGUCCUGGCAGACACAGCUGUGGUUUGGCCGUCCUCACAGGUUGGCUGGAUCGCCUCCCGAAUGGCGCAGCGGUCUAAGGCACUGCAGUGCUUGAGGCGUCACUACAGAUCUGGGUUCAAUCCCAGGCUGUGUCGCAGCUGGCCACGACCGGGAGACCCAUGAGGCAACGCACAAUUGGGCCAGCAUCGUCCGGGUUAGGGGAGGGAUUGGCCGGCUGGGAUGUCCUUGUCCCAUCGCUCUCUAGCGACUCCUGUGAGUGCCGGCCAAAUGCACUCUGACACGGUCGCAGUUGUACGGUGUUUUCUCCGACACAUUGGUGUGGCUGGCUUCCAGGUUAAGCGGGCAUUGUGUCAAGAAGCAGUGCGGCUUGGCAGAGUCAUGUUUCGGAGGACGCAUGGCUCUUGACCUUCGCCUCUCCCGAGUCCGUACGGGAGUUGCAGCGGUGGGACAAGACUGUAACUACCAAUUGGAUAUCACGAAAUUGGGGAGAAAAAGGCGUAAAAAGUUGUCUGGACUUCGCUGAAGACCCGUAGAUCUCUACAUUACUCCCUUUUUGUAUAGACACCUGAGUUGCCUAACCCGUUCACAGGAUUGGUUAACACUUGAGGUUCCUAGGGUCUCCACCGAGCUAGGUAAAUUCGCUUUUAGUUUUAAUGUACUGUAUUGCUGGAACAAAAUUUUAAAUACAUUUCAUCUCUGUUCUGGUGCCGUUCGGCAAUUUAAAGUAUGGAUUGGAGACUUAUUUGUAGAGGAAUGUAACUGUUUUUCUGGAUAAUUUGUAGUGUUUUAUUUGUGCUUCCCAUGACUGUGUUUAUGUAUUUUAUUGUGUAUAUGUUUGGGUAUAAUGUAUAUAUUUAUGUUGUAUUAUACAGGUCAUAUUUGUAAAAGAGACCUUGGUCUCAAAGUUGUCCCUGUUCAAAUAAAGGUGAAAUAAAAAAUAAAAAAAUGUGACCCAAAUAUUUGCAACACAUGCCACCCCCAAAAACCAACAGACAAAUUACAUUUAUCCAAAUAUCACUUUAUUGUUUUUUUUUAUCAAUCACAUUGUUUACAGUGCUUUAAAUGUUUACAGAUUAAAGUGUGUGUUGAGGUUCUGUCUCUAUAUCACAUGAGAUCCUUUCUACCUAAGACAUAACUUACUCUAUCCAGAUGUGGCAUCAAUGACACGCACUGACCUGUUGAGCUAAGCAAACAGCAAGACAUUUCAUGGCCAAAUCAUUGCCUAAAUGGAUUGUGUUGCUCACUGACUUGGUUGAAAGACAAUUUUAGAUGAUUUUGGAAUAAUAUUUAAAAGAUGCUAAAUGGGAAAAUUUGACUGAAAUGGAAAUUGAUCCUAAAAAAAUGCUAAUAUUAAUUGGCUAGUUUAUCAAAAUCAGACUGUUUUCACAUAUACUUGUUUUACAAAUAUCAAACUAUGUAAAAUAUGCCUUUAUGCAGAAAUAUAGCCAUCGUGUUGCAUUGAG